CCGCACGGGUGGGUAACACGUAUCCAACCUGCCGUCUACUCUUGGACAGCCUUCUGAAAGGAAGAUUAAUACAAGAUGGCAUCAUGAGUCCGCAUGUUCACAUGAUUAAAGGUAUUCCGGUAGACGAUGGGGAUGCGUUCCAUUAGAUAGUAGGCGGGGUAACGGCCCACCUAGUCUUCGAUGGAUAGGGGUUCUGAGAGGAAGGUCCCCCACAUUGGAACUGAGACACGGUCCAA
rnacentral:rRNA from 1 species